rnacentral:rRNA from 1 species
UACCGCGUAACGCCGCGGGGCUGCAUGGCCCCGCGGCCAAAGGAAGCGAUUCCGGCGGGGGAUGGGCAUGCGGCGCAUUAGCUAGUCGGCGGGGUAACGGCCCACCGAGGCGACGAUGCGUAGGGGUUCUGAGAGGAAGGUCCCCCACACUGGUACUGAGACACGGACCAGACUCCUACGGGAGGCAGCAGUGAGGAAUAUUGGUCAAUGGGCGUAAGCCUGAACCAGCCAAGUCGCGUGAGGGAAGACGGUCCUACGGAUUGUAAACCUCUUUUGCCGGGGAGCAACGGGGUCCUUGCGAGGGCCUUAUGAGAGUACCCGGAGAAAAAGCAUCGGCUAACUCCGUGCCAACAGCCGCGGAAAUACGGAGGAUGCGAGCGUUAUCCGGAUUUAUU